rnacentral:rRNA from 1 species
GUUGAACGCUGGCGGCAGGCCUAAUACAUGCAAGUCGAGCGGACAGAGGGAGAUCGUUCCUCGAUUCCGUUGCCGACGGACGAGUAAUUAAUAGGAAUAUGCCUGGCAGUGGGGGCUAGGGUAAGGUCAGGGGACCUGAUCUAGUAUCCGUCAAUAGAUUGAAAGUCAGGGUUCAUUAGUCAACACCGUAUUUGCUGUCCCUUGUAGGUGUUACCUCGCCGCAUUAGCUAGUUGGUAAGGUAACGGCCUACCAAGGCAACGAUGCGUAGCCGACCUGAGAGGAUGAUCGGCCACACUGGAACUGAGACACGGUCCAGACUCCUACGGGAGGCAGCAGUAGGGAAUAUUGCGCAAUGGGCGAAAGCCUGACGGAGCCAUGCCGCGUGAGUGAUGAAGGUCUUCGGAUCGUAAAACUCUGUUAUUAGGGAAGAACAAAUGUGUAAGUAAACAUGCACGUCUUGACGGUACCUACUCAGAAAGCCACGGCUAACUACGUG